AGAGUGAUCUCUUGGCAAUAGUUAAGCAAUCAAAAGGAGCUAUAGUAAUGGCUUAUAACCAAAGUACACAAUCAGUGUCGAAAAGAAAGACAGGGAUGUGAACACACAGGUUCCCAGGAGACGCGGAGACAGAACUUAGCAUGGGAUCCCAGCCCUGCGUUUCUCAACUUUUUUUCAGUCUGUGACUUGGUGGGAUCUGUGUCCCCACUCUUUGCCUGUCCUGCUCUGACCAUCCCAUCUGACCCAGGAUUUCAUGAUGUGCUGGGCAAUGAAAGACCUUCUGCUUACAUGAGGGAGCACAAUCAAUUAAAUGGCUGGUCUUCUGACGAAAAUGACUGGAAUGAAAAACUCUACCCAGUGUGGAAGAGGGGAGACAUGAGGUGGAAAAACUCCUGGAAGGGAGGCUGUGUGCAGGCGGUCCUGACCAGUGACUCACCAGCCCUCGUGGGCUCAAAUAUAACAUUUGUGGUGAACCUGGUAUUCCCUAGAUGCCAAAAGGAAGAUGCCAAUGGCAACAUUGUCUAUGAGAAGAACUGCAGAAAUGAGGCUGGUUUAUCUGCUGAUCCGUAUGUUUACAACUGGACAGCAUGGUCAGAGGACAGUGACGGGGAAAAUGGCACUGGCCAAAGCCAUCAUAACGUGUUCCCCGAUGGGAAACCUUUUCCUCACCACCCCGGAUGGAGAAGAUGGAAUUUCGUCUACGUCUUCCACACACUUGGUCAGUAUUUCCAGAAAUUGGGACGAUGUUCAGUGAGAGUCUCUGUGAACACAGCCAAUGUGACACUUGGGCCU
rnacentral:sRNA from 1 species